ACUCCUACGGGAGGCAGCAGUGGGGAAUCUUAGACAAUGGGGGCAACCCUGAUCUAGCCAUGCCGCGUGAGUGAUGAAGGCCUUAGGGUUGUAAAAGCUCUUUCAGCUGGGAAGAUAAUGACGGUACCAGCAGAAGAAGCCCCCGGCUAACUCCGUGCCCAGCAGCCGCGGUAAUACGGAGGGGGCUAGCGUUGUUCGGAAUUACUCGGCGUAAAGCGCACGUAGGCGGACUGGAAAGUUGGGGGUGAAAUCCCGGGGCUCAACCU
rnacentral:rRNA from 1 species